rnacentral:tRNA from 1 species
UUAAAUGAAUCUAAAUAAUUAGAAAUUAAUUUCGACUUAAUGCUUAGUAUAAAUUACUCAUUUAAU